rnacentral:rRNA from 1 species
GACGAGGGGUCCUAGCGUUGUUCGGAAUCAUUGGGCGUAAAGCGUGUGUAGGCGGCCUUAUAAGUCAGUUGUGAAAGCCCCGGGCUCAACCCGGGAAGUGCUUCUGAUACUAUUUGGCUUGAGUACUGGAGAGGAUAGUGGAAUUCCAGGUGUAGUGGUGAAAUACGUAGAUAUCUGGAGGAACACCGGUGGCGAAGGCGGCUAUCUGGCCAUGUACUGACGCUGAGACACGAAAGCGUGGGGAGCAAACAGG